rnacentral:sRNA from 1 species
AAGAAAAAGUGUGAUUUUUCAAGGAAUCAAGUGUUUAAAGGUGGUGAGCUAUCUGAUACGGGUAAAAGACUACACCCGAGGAUCGAGAAUAGGAGUAUAUCUACUCCUAGUACAGCUCAGAAUAGGCAGUAGACUGUCAAUUGCAUCGAGAAGU